GAAAGUUGUCUCUCUCCCUCUCCCCAUCCCUCCCUGCUCCCUCUUCUUCUUCUUCCAUCAUGUGCUUGGGAUAUGCUCACAGAGCAGCCGAAGCACGCCUAAUGCUGGCUGGCUUAUUGUUAGCGGCACUUUUAAACUGAUGCCCCUCCACUAAAUGAAAUGGCUGGGAUCUUUGAGGAGAACAUUUACCACAUCACUGUACACACGGACCAAAGUGCGCUCCUUCUCCUGCUUGGGACGCUUUUCUGACCGGCUGCUGUGAUUUCACUCUCCGAGGAACACUGAUGGAGAAGAGCAAGUGUGAAGAACUGCAGGCAGAAAGAAGCAGAGGUCAACACCAGAUCUCUGGGAUUUUGCUCUCCGAUGGACCCACAUGAGGUGAACAGGGAACGAAGAUUAUGACCCAGAAACAAAUGGCCUAACGACUGGACUCUCCAGGCUAAAGAUGAGAAGGAUAUUCAGCUGAUCUCAGAGGUAACCGAGUCCUCUGGAUUAACAAGAGAAGAGUCUGGAUUUUGGCUUCAAGACUUCUACACUUCAGAUCGCUAUCUCUGACACCUGGACCAGCACUGCACUCUUUUUUUUAUUUCUGUCUAGGGGUGUUAGAAAAUAUACACUGAUAUAUCGCGAUAUUUCGUGGCGCAAUACUGUAUUGAUAUUUUAAAAUGCAGUAUCGAUAUUUUUUUAAAUAAUAAUUUACUUUGUGCAGUAGUUUGUGGUGUAAUUUCACCCCCUGGCCGCUAGUUGGCAGCAAACAGUCACUUCCUCUUCUCCUCUGCUUAGACAACAAGCUCACACAAGACUUCCAGUCUGAGCGAGCCGGUUGCUCAUGCCUACCGCUGCAGUGCAGCUUCUGCUGCAAUUUGUAGCAGAUAUGUGGACUUAUUUUGGCUUCCAAAACAUUAAAGACUGUACAGACUUAAACAGGAGUCAUGUUGUUUGUAAGAUACGCCACGCCAGAGUGAAAUACCUGGACAACAGGAUGAACCUGAGCAUCAUAGCAAUAGCUUAGCGGCUAACAGCUAACGGGAAAGAGGCCUGCUGAAGCUACCGCUGACUUUAACUUAUGUAACCAUAAUUACCCAGUCAAUACUUAAUAUUUUUUGUAAGGACCUGUGCCAUCAUAGUGUCGUUAAGAAUGACUGUCAUAUGAUUAAAAAAUACACUGGCCCGUCACAUCAUGCCCUCCUCACAACACAGUCCAUCAGUCCUUGAAGCUGGACAUGAGGAUUGGUCUUCCUCCACAAGCACCUUGUCAUUACGUUAAGACAUGCAAGCUGAUGUACCAUGAAAAGAUUUACUCUAUAUUCAUUUAUAUUUCCACUUUUCUUUUUGAAAUCCUUAAAGCAUUUUAAUCCAUUACAACAAAUGGGAAAAAUCCUCAUCUUCA